CACACAAAAAAAUUUUAGCAGUGAAUACUAAAAAAAUGCUGUUUUGUUCUUAAAAUGUGUAAAAAUUUUGAUUCAAUCACGAAAAUUCGCGAUUAUUGUAAAGUAUAUUAUGAAAAGCUUUUGAUUCAAAAAUAAGAACGAUUGAAACAAAAGUUAAGCAAUUUAAAAACUACUAUACCCAAAUUAUUGAUUCAUAUAGUAAUAUUUACUACGUAAAAUAUUGAAAGUAUAUUUUUAGGUUUAGAUUCAAUUUCUUCCAUAUUCAAAUAAUAAUCUACUAUGUAAAAUAUUUAAAAGUAUAAUUCUUCGUAGAUAGAUUCAAAAUAUUUGUUUUUGAUCCUAAUUCUGAAUAUUAACUGUUAAAUUUUUUCGGUAUUGAAAUCCCUUUUUCUCAUACGCAAAAUUAAUUCGACUCAAUACGAAGACAAGUUAAAAGAAAACAGUUUAAAAAAUGGAAAAUAAAAGUAUAAAGUGGAUUGGGGCGUCUCGGGCGUCUCCAUUGUAAAAAUGUUCAAUCUUUUUAAUUUGAUAAAAAGGUAAGACUUUCCAUAUACAACAUAAAUGCUCUCCAGUUCAGUAUAUUAAACGAAUUUGUUUUUCAGAAAUUUUUCAAUAGCCAGGACGAUGGAGAAAAAAGUUUUCCGGAAAAGUGAGCGAUCUGUGAAUCAACAAGGAUAGCGGUGUCGACAUACUAUUACUGAAAAAUCUAUCCUGGAAUGACGUGGAUGGAAAAAAUGCUGCAAUUUCCCCCAAAUCAUCAAGCUGGAAAGGCUGAAGAAGGAAGAUACAGAAAUGAGCACAAGUCCUGGCAGCAAGGAAACCAAAAAGGAUGUGUUUAAUUACGUGUGUGUAGAAAAAAGUGUAUUAAAAAAAUGAGGUGGAAAUAAAAUAAA